rnacentral:rRNA from 1 species
UGAACGCUGGCGGCGUGCCUAAUACAUGCACGUCGAGCGAACAGACGAGGAGCUUGCUCCUCUGACGUUAGCGGCGGACGGGUGAGUAACACGUGGAUAACCUACCUAUAAGACUGGGAUAACUUCGGGAAACCGGAGCUAAUACCGGAUAAUAUAUUGAACCGCAUGGUUCAAUAGUGAAAGACGGUUUUGCUGUCACUUAUAGAUGGAUCCGCGCCGCAUUAGCUAGUUGGUAAGGUAACGGCUUACCAAGGCAACGAUGCGUAGCCGACCUGAGAGGGUGAUCGGCCACACUGGAACUGAGACACGGUCCAGACUCCUACGGGAGGCAGCAGUAGGGAAUCUUCCGCAAUGGGCGAAAGCUUGACGGAGCAACGCCGCGUGAGUGAUGAAGGUCUUCGGAUCGUAAAACUCUGUUAUUAGGGAAGAACAAAUGUGUAAGUAACUAUGCACGUCUUGACGGUACCUAAUCAGAAAGCCACGGCUAACUACGUG